rnacentral:rRNA from 1 species
GACGAACGUUGGCGGCGUGCUUAAUACAUGCAAGUCGACUGAAGCAGUGGUAGCAAUAUCGCUUUGGCGGUGGCGCACGGGUUACUAACGCGUAGGUAAUCCGCCUUUAGGUCUGGCAUAACUCCGGGAUACCUGUGCUAAUAGCAGAUUAUGCCGCGGCUCUACAUCUUGACGGUUGUUAAUUCUAUGGCGCCUGCAGAUGCGCCUGCGUCUGAUUAGCUAGUUGGCGGGUUAACAGCCGACCAAGUCAACGAUCAGUAGCUGGUCUGUGAGGAUGAUCAGGAACGAUAGAACUGAGAGACGGUCCAGACUGGUACGGGAGGCAGCAGUAAGGAAAAGUGCUAAAGGGGAGACAACCUGAAGCAGCAACGUCGCGUGAGGGACGAAGGGCUAUUGCUUGUAAACCUCUGUAGAAAGAGAAAAAAAGCCGAAUGUUUGGGACGUGACGGUAUCUCAAAAGUAAGCCCCGGCUAACUACGUG